rnacentral:tRNA from 1 species
UAUUAAUAUUAUUUUGGCAGAUUAGUGUAAUGAAUUUAGAAUUCAUAAAAGUAAAAAAUUUUACAAAUAAUAC